rnacentral:rRNA from 1 species
CAGUCGCCACGGGAAUACGUAGGGCGCAAGCGUUGUCCGGAAUUAUUGGGCGUAAAGAGCUCGUAGGCGGUCUGUCGCGUCUGGUGUGAAAUCCCGAGGCUCAACCUCGGGCUUGCAUCGGGUACGGGCAGACUAGAGUGCGGUAGGGGAGACUGGAAUUCCUGGUGUAGCGGUGGAAUGCGCAGAUAUCAGGAGGAACACCGAUGGCGAAGGCAGGUCUCUGGGCCGCAACUGACGCUGAGGAGCGAAAGCAUGGGGAGCGAACAGGAUUAGAUACCCCAGUAGUCCCUGUCUCUUAUAC